rnacentral:rRNA from 1 species
UACGUAGGGGGCAAGCGUUGUCCGGAUUUAUUGGGCGUAAAGAGCUCGUAGGCGGUUUGGUAAGUCUGGUGUGAAAUCUCCACGCUCAACGUGGAGGGGCCACCCGAUACUGCCAUGACUGGAGUCCGGUAGAGGAGUGUGGAAUUCCCGGUGUAGCGGUGAAAUGCGCAGAUAUCAGGAGGAACACCGAUGGCGAAGGCAGCUUACUGGGCCGAUACUGACGCUGAGGAGCGAAAGCGUGGGGAGCGAACAGG